GCUUGGAAGUCUACAGUGGAAGAGUGAGGGAACUUUGGUCAGCUGCUUUUCCUCUCCUCAGCUCUCCUCCCUCAUCGGUUUCUGCUUUUGGCCUCUUCAAAGCUGCAAGAGGGAAGGAGAAAAGGUCAGAAAGGGUUCUUUGUUUGAAAUCAUCUCCUUUCCAGCAAAGACUGCUUUAACUAGCAUAAUAUAUGCUUCAUAUGCAGCACUAAUUUAUUUGGCAGUCUGUGUUAAUGCUGUGCUGAAGAAGGUAAAGAACAUCUUCCAGGAAGAAGAAUCCAUCAGGCAAAACAGAGAGGAGAGUGAAAAUUGUAGAAAAGCCUUUUCUGAGCCUGUGCUUUCGGAGCCUAUGUUUGCUGAAGGUGAAAUCAAAGCAAAACCUUAUAGGUCAUUGCCGGAGAAGCCAGACAUUUCAGAUUACCCCAAGCUUCUUGCUAAUAAGCAGAGUAAUAACAUCCAAGUUUUACAUUCUGUGUUUGACCAAUCAGCUGAAAUGAAUGAGCAAAUCUGAAUACAGAUAUCACUGAACAGAACUUAAGAGUUAUCUAUUUAAUGGCACAUUUCAUCUGACAAAACUCAGAGUCCAGUUUACAUAUUCUGAAUUGCUCUGCUUUCUUAAAAAAAAGAGAAGGGGGCUACUAUUAAAAUGUCAUUUUCUAGUAUUUACAUGAUAGAGUAAAUAAAAUGAAUAUUGAUGUGGAA
rnacentral:sRNA from 1 species